rnacentral:rRNA from 1 species
AUUGAACGCUGGCGGAAUGCUUUACACAUGCAAGUCGAACGGCAGCACGGGGCAACCUGGUGGCGAGUGGCGAACGGGUGAGUAAUACAUCGGAACGUGCCCAAUCGUGGGGGAUAACGUAGCGAAAGUUACGCUAAUACCGCAUACGAUCUACGGAUGAAAGCGGGGGAUCGCAAGACCUCGCGCGAAUGGAGCGGCCGAUGUCAGAUUAGGUAGUUGGUGGGGUAAAGGCUCACCAAGCCAACGGUCUGUAGCUGGUCUGAGAGGACGACCAGCGACACGGGGAAGAAGCCACGGCCCAGACUCCUACGGGAGGCAGCAGUGGGGAAUUUUGGACAAUGGGCGCAAGCCUGAUCCAGCCAUUCCGCGUGCAGGAUGAAGGCCUUCGGGUUGUAAACUGCUUUUGUACGGAACGAAACGGUUCUCUCUAAUACAGGGGGCUAAUGACGGUACCGUAAGAAUAAGCACCGGCUAACUACGUGCCAGCCGCCGCUGUAAAAC